rnacentral:rRNA from 1 species
AUUGAACGCUGGCGGCAUGCCUUACACAUGCAAGUCGAACGGUAACAGGUCUUCGGAUGCUGACGAGUGGCGAACGGGUGAGUAAUACAUCGGAACGUGCCCGAUCGUGGGGGAUAACGCAGCGAAAGCUGUGCUAAUACCGCAUACGAUCUACGGAUGAAAGCGGGGGAUCGCAAGACCUCGCGCGGACGGAGCGGCCGAUGGCAGAUUAGGUAGUUGGUGGGAUAAAAGCUUACCAAGCCGACGAUCUGUAGCUGGUCUGAGAGGACGACCAGCCACACUGGGACUGAGACACGGCCCAGACUCCUACGGGAGGCAGCAGUGGGGAAUUUUGGACAAUGGGCGCAAGCCUGAUCCAGCCAUGCCGCGUGCAGGAUGAAGGCCUUCGGGUUGUAAACUGCUUUUGUACGGAACAAAAAGCUCUCUCUAAUACAGGGGGUGAAUGACGGUACCGUAAGAAUAAGCACCGGCUAACUACGUG